UAGGGAAUAUUGCACAAUGGACGGAAGUCUGACGCAGAGACGCCGCGUGAGCGAUGAAGGUUUUGGUAUCGUAAAGCUCUGUCCUUGGGGAAGAAGGCGAAAACUUGACGGUACCCAAGAAGAAAGCCCCGGCUAACUACGUGCCAGCAGCCGCGGUAAUACGUAGGGGGCGAGCGUUGUCCGGAAUUACUGGGCGUAAAGGGUGGGUAGGCGGCCCUUUAAGUCGGAUGUGAAAGCCCGCGGCUUAACCGCGGAAUGGCAUUUGAAACUGGAGGGCUUGAGUGUCGGAGAGGGUAGUGGAAUUCCCAGUGUAGCGGUGAAAUGCGUAGAUAUUGGGAGGAACACCAGUGGCGAAGGCGACUACCUGGACGAUAACUGACGCUGAGGCACGAAAGCUAGGGGAGCAAACAGGAUUAGAUACCCUGGUAGUCCUAGCCGUAAACGAUGGGUACUAGGUGUGGGUGGUUUC
rnacentral:rRNA from 1 species